CAGAGCUAUCAGCUCAUCCAAAGCUGGUGCUCUCGCAGAAGACCGCGUGGAUGAUGUGGAAGGCACGUCCACUCGGAGCGCGGAGUCUCUGGCAUUAGCUCCUCCGCGGAAGCGAGAGAAGUCCCGGGAGAUGAGGCGGAACGCACAGCGUGAGCCGGGCGACCGAGCAGCGAUCACUUUUCUCUCUGCGCAGCGGAGGGAAAGCGUGCCUGAAUGUUUGCUUGCGA
rfam:Marchantia polymorpha subsp. polymorpha scaffold4202, whole genome shotgun sequence.